rnacentral:rRNA from 1 species
UACAGAGGUCCCAAGCGUUGUUCGGAUUCACUGGGCGUAAAGGGUGCGUAGGUGGCUUGGUAAGUUCGAUGUGAAAUCUCCGGGCUUAACCCGGAAAUGGCAUUGAAUACUAUUGAGCUGGAGGUUUGGAGGGGGGACUGGAAUUCUCGGUGUAGCAGUGAAAUGCGUAGAUAUCGAGAGGAACACCAGUGGCGAAGGCGAGUCCCUGGACAACACCUGACACUGAGGCACGAAAGCUAGGGGAGCGAACGGG